UACAGAGGGUGCGAGCGUUAAUCGGAAUUACUGGGCGUAAAGCGCACGUAGGUGGUUUGAUAAGUCGGAUGUGAAAUCCCCGGGCUUAACCUGGGAAUGGCAUUCGAUACUGUCAAACUAGAGUCUGGUAGAGGGUGGUGGAAUUCCAGGUGUAGCAGUGAAAUGCGUAGAGAUGUGGAGGAACACCGAUGGCGAAGGCAGCCCCCUGGGCUAACACUGACGCUCAUGCACGAAAGCGUGGGGAGCAAACAGG
rnacentral:rRNA from 1 species